rnacentral:rRNA from 1 species
CAAUAGCGUAUAUUUAAGUUGCUGCAGUUAAAAAGCUCGUAGUUGGAUUUCGGGUGGGAAUGGCCGGUCCGCCGUUUCGGUGUGCACUUGCUACGCCCACCUUGCUGCCGGGGACGUGCUCUUGAGUUCACGCUCGGGACACGGAGUCGGCGAGGUUACUUUGAGUAAAUUAGAGUGUUCAAAGCAGGCCUACGCUCUGAAUACAUUAGCAUGGAAUAACACGAUAGGACUCUGGCCUAUCUUGUUGGUCUGUAGGACCGGAGUAAUGAUUAAGAGGGACAGUCGGGGGCAUUCGUAUUUCAUUGUCAGAGGCGAAAUUCUUGGAUUUAUGAAAGACGAACUUCUGCGAAAGCAUUUGCCAAGGAUGUUUUCAUUAA